CAAGUGUCAUCAUCUUCAUCUUUUUGUUUUAAUUUAUGAAACAUUUCAAACAUACUGAAAAUAGACUAAAAUAGUUAAAACGACAUGUUAAUCACAAGUUUAAGCAAUUUACAACGUUUUCCUAAUACCGGUUCAUUUCCCUUCCUCAACACUGUUUUCCCCCCUAAGGUAUUGUAAAGUAUUUUUGGGGCAAGUUGUUUUUAAAGCUUUCUGUGCUUCAGUUUUCCCAUCUAGGAAAUGAAGGUUUUAAUAUCUAGUUCACGGCCUAGAACUGUAGUUAUUAUUUAUGGUGGUACCUACGUGCUUCGCCGCCUCUGAGGCGUAAAAGCAUUUUGCUGAGUGGCGCGACCCGCUCACGACAGAGGUCUAAACCGCCAGGAGGAAUUCUGGCUAAGACUGCGAUCGCCCCCUUCAGGCAGCCCCCUGCAAGAACCUCUAGGGACAAACGAAGAUUGUCCCUCGCAGCCUCCCGUUGCCGCGCGCGAAAACGAGGGGGCGGGAACAGGAAAUGGGGUAGGACCGAGUUCCGGGUGCCGGGCAGGCGCUGAGAGGAGCAGAGCGUGGUAGUUGGGAGCCCGAGAAGGAAAGCGGACAUGUUCCGGAUCGAGGGCCUCGCGCCGAAGCUGGACCCCGAGGAAAUGAAACGGAAGAUGCGUGAGGAUGUGAUCUCGUCCAUACGGAACUUCCUCAUCUACGUGGCCCUGCUGCGAGUCACACCUUUUAUCCUAAAGAAACUGGACAGCAUAUGAAGAUGGACAUCACACGUGAAUGCAUGGAGGAAAGAAAAUCGCUAAUUGCAAAUAUGUUCAUGAUACCAAGAAACUGAAGACUAAUUUUUAUGGGACAGCGUGGAAACAUCAUGGAGACUACUGCUGGAUGUCCUACAGCAAUGGGAGUUUACAAGAUGCUCUUCUUUCCAAAACUCCGAUUGCAUUGCCUCUGAUUAUUUGAGCCGAUGGGAGAGAAGCAAUAUAUAGAUAAUUUAAAAUAAUAAAUAUUACCCCAAAAAAAGUUUUUAAGAAAUGUGAUAGAUAAGAAUUAAAACAAGGAAAUGUAGGAAAUGGUCAAAUGAAUUACUCAUCCUAAUAUCAUUAGUAAAACUCAGCUUUUAUAUCAUUUUAGUGUACUUUUGAGUAAAAUUUAAUAGGCUUACUAUUGAAUCUUUACAUAAACUGUAAAAUUUUAUAGAUACUCAAAUUUUCAUAAUAACCAUUGUUUUCAUUGGUCUCCAGGAAAUGAAGCAAAAGAUUUUUUUAAAAGCCUUAAUAAGAUAUCAUUAUUAGCUUAGUGAAACUGAUUACUGGCAAAGGGUUGAAGGGAAAGGCAUUUAGUUUAACAUGUACUUUUCCAUUUGAAACUAACCUUCACUUUUGUUAGCAAGCACUCUAGUAAACUUUGCUCAAAAUAUCACUUAUUCUCUUCUUCCUGAUUCAUGUCUAAAGAGAGAGUAAAAUAGCAUAUUUUUAAUAUAUAUAUUUCAUUAAUGUUUAUUUUUGACAGCAAGCGAGCACAAGCAGGUAAGGAGUGGAAAGAGAGGGAGACACAGAAUCCGAAGCAGGCUUUAAGGUCUGAGCUGUCAGCACAGAGCCCGACAUGGGGCUAGAACCCACAACUGUGAGAUCAUGACCUGAGCCGAAGUUUGAUGCUUAACCAACUGAGCCACCCAGGAGCUCCAAUACUUGUUUCUUGGUAGAAAAGGAUAAAUAUGUCUUCAUGUUUAUGGGGAACUGAUGUUCUGUUCACAUAACAAUUUUAAUAGUAAAUAGGCACUGGGUGUCAGAUACCUGGGAAUCAAAGAAUGCAUACUAAGAAUGGAUGGAAGGCUUUCCGUACACAGGUACCUCUUGAUGGUGGGCUCCUGCCACAGGACAGGUUCAAGAACAAUGGAAAAAUUCACUGGUAAUAUGUUAUAUAAGGCAGUGUCGGGCAUCAUGUACAGAGGUGCUCUCCAAAACAGCUACACACCAACUCACAUGGGAAGCUUUUAAACAGUCUAUGGAAUCAGAAUUGCUAUGGAUGGUGUCAGGAAUCUGUUUUUUGAAAACCUCCAGGUGAUUUAAUUGGUCCAGGAUCUGUUUUUGGUAACCAGUAAAUGAGUUUACCUUAAGGCCCCUUCCAAUUCUGAAAUUCUGGACUGGUUUAGGAAUAAGAGUCAAAACUAAAAACGAAAACAAUUUUAGGUUGCAUUUGUAAAAUUACAACAUUAAGGUGUCCAGAGCUGACAGAUGCUUGAAGAGUAGCCAACUUGCCAGAGUUUGGUAGAGCACUGGAGGUAUCUGGAAAUCAUGCUACAAGAGAAAUGACUGAAAGAAGCAUUUAGCCCUGAGAAAACCUACAACGGAAAUCUGAGUGUUAUUCUUAAAAGCUAAAAGCAUGUUGUCAAAGAACUGUCCCAGCAGAUUAGGAUAAAGGCUUGGAAGCUAAGAAAAAAGAUUCCUUCUUGAACUUUACUGUGACCAAGGUAGGCUGGGUCACAGACAGGGUACUUUGCUGGAAAUGAAUAAGAACCUGAACGUGGAUUCGCUAUAGCAGAGAUUGCCACUCUGGGAAAAAGGUUUCUCUCGUCUUUUUCUCUGUUACUGAAAGACUCCUUGAAUACAGUUGCUGUCUCGCUUGUUUUUCUGUUCCACAUAAUAUCUUUACAAAGAAGGAGCCGAAUAAAUGACUGCUGGAAAAAUUAGUGACUUUCCAGACAAGACCCAGGCCUCAGAAAAAUAUUCCCAUUCUGGUUGGUGGAGGUGUUCACAUUCACAGGUAUUUAUUCAGUAACUACAGAGUAGCAGGCACUCAUAGCUGAGGGAUACAGAAGGGAAUUCAAUCAUGGUACCAAUCCUUAAGAGGCUUACCUUCUAGCAGGAGAGGCAGACAUUAAUUACCUAAGUCAUCAUUAGUUACAUAUUUUAUUACAUAAGCUGCUGUGGGGGUGAAGUGCAGGCCGCUGUGAGAACUUGAAAAAGGGGAGCGCUGACCUACUUGAGGUUGAGGAGGCUCCUGAGGAAGCCUUACAUAAAGAUUGGAUGAAUAGCAUUUGGCCAGGUAAAAGAAUGAGGAGCCUUUGAAAAAGUAUUAAAGUAUAUGUGUUUAAAGAAGAAAAAGGCCAGUGUGACUGAAGUGUGUGGAGCACAGAAGAACCAGAAAACCUUCAGUUCUUUCAGAAACUCCUGUUUAUUUUCUCACACUUCAGUCUGAAGAAAGAGAUCCCAUCCUGACAUCUGCUGGCUACCGUAUAUACUGCAGUUCCAAGUCACACAAGAGCAACCCUCAGCAACCUGUUUUCUUGAGGGCUGCAGUCAGAAAUGAAUAAAGCACCAGGGCUUUUCCCUGCCCUGUAUUUCGGACAUCACACGGGACCAAACACUUGGGAUUUACAUGCUGUGUUACAGAUUCGCUUAUGUGGUACCACCUGCCUGCAUUUAUACAAGUUCACAGAAAUCACACAGAAGGGUUGAGUAGAUGUGUUACUGAAAUGUAAAGACAUUACAAAACCACUUAUUUUGUCUUUUAAACACAUUAUCUGAUGAACUGUUGCAUGAAACAAGUUUCCUUCGCAAAUAAGACAUAGCUGACUUUAAUCCAGUAAGCAUUCUACUGAGGCUAAAGAUGUGCUUGAAGCACAUCUGAUAAUUUUCAUCUUUUUCUCAGCCAUAUUAGUCAUAGUGCCAUCUUUUCCACUUAUGUCUAGAAAGUGUUUAUCAGGUGUAAGGACAAAAUUGCAGCAUCAACAACAACAACAAAAAUACUAUCUAAGCAGCUGUAUUGACUGAUACUGUUACAUUUCAUAUUGUUGCACUAUUGUUUGAAAUACUCAUUAAUCAGCUGGAUAAAUUUGGUGAAUAAAGUGGUUUUGAAACACCAAUAUAUAGUAAAAAGUGCUUUGGCGGUAGAAAUCUAUCGGUUUGGAAGGAACACUAGAAUUAGUUCAAAGUCUUCAGUUUUACUCUUAAUUAUGUGACUAUACGAGUCAGAUUUUUUUUGUUGGAAACACCAGAUUCAGUCUGGGUAGAUAUAAAGAGAAGUAAUGCAUCGGAAGGAUUACAGGUAGUUUAGCAUCGCCUGGAGGCCUGGAGUAUCAGGCUGGAGACUAGGCAACUGGAACAUCACUCCUUGUUACUUGGUCAGGCCAUACAACCCAGUGCAGUGAAGAGCUCUCUGCUAACAAUUAGAUGCCACCAUUUUCUGAAGCCACAGA
ensembl:lncRNA